GUCUGAGGCCUGCUGCCAUCACCACGUGAGUGAGACAUCUUAGAAGUGGAUCCUUCAGCCUAAGUCAAGCCUUCAGAUGAUUGCGUCUUGACUGCAGCCUCAUCAAAGACCUUGAACCAGAACCACCCAACUCAGUUACUCUCAAAUGCUUAACCCAUAGAAACUAUACAGAUUAUGGCUUGCUAUGGCAGUCAGCCCCCAAGAUGGACCCCAUUGAUUCUGGACUCCUGGGUGCCAAAACCAUUGUACCCAGAUCAACUGCAAACAAGAACAGAGUUUUAAU
rnacentral:lncRNA from 1 species